UACAGAGGGUGCGAGCGUUGUCCGGAAUCACUGGGCGUAAAGGGCGCGUAGGCGGCUUUAUAAGCGUGCGGUGAAAGCCCGGGGCUCAACCCCGGGUCGGCCGUGCGAACUGUCGAGCUGGAGCACUGUAGAGGCAGGUGGAAUUCCGGGUGUAGCGGUGGAAUGCGUAGAGAUCCGGAAGAACACCGGUGGCGAAGGCGGCCUGCUGGGCAGUGGCUGACGCUGAGGCGCGACAGCGUGGGGAGCAAACAGG
rnacentral:rRNA from 1 species